rnacentral:misc_RNA from 2 species
CAGAGAACAUGCCCCUCUAGGGUAUAUCUCCCACCCUUUGUCUACAAUACCUUUGUUGCUUUGGCAAGCCCGUCUCGAUGACUACUGGCUUCUAGCUAGCUUGCGCUUGCCAGAGGACCCCAAAAUUCUCUUUUAUGUUGUCCGAGUACCACACAAUAAUUA